ACCAGUAGCCAUAUCACUCUGCAACUCACAACUGGCAACCCACUGAAGCAAAGCAGGUGUGAGCCUGGUCAGUACCUGAAUGGGAGACCUCCUGGGAAAAACUAAGGUUGCUGCUGGAA
ensembl:rRNA 5S_rRNA 5S ribosomal RNA